UCGACGAAGAAGUUAGAAUGAGAGCUUCGGCAGGAUUUCUUUCCAUCUUAGUGGCGGACGGGUGAGUAACGUGUGGGCAACCUGCCCUGUACUGUGGAAUAAUCAUUGGAAACGAUGACUAAUACCGCAUGUGGUCCUCGGAAGGCAUCUUCUGAGGAAGAAAGGAUUUAUUCGGUACAGGAUGGGCCCGCAUCUGAUUAGCUAGUUGGUGAGAUAACAGCCCACCAAGGCGACGAUCAGUAGCCGACCUGAGAGGGUGAUCGGCCACAUUGGGACUGAGACACGGCCCAAACUCCUACGGGAGGCAGCAGUGGGGAAUAUUGCACAAUGGGCGAAAGCCUGAUGCAGCAACGCCGCGUGAAGGAUGAAGGGUUUCGGCUCGUAAACUUCUAUCAAUAGGGAAGAAACAAAUGACGGUACCUAAAUAAGAAGCCCCGGCUAACUACGUGCCAGCAGCCGCGGUAAUACGUAGGGGGCAAGCGUUAUCCGGAAUUACUGGGUGUAAAGGGAGCGUAGGCGGCAUGGUAAGCCAGAUGUGAAAGCCUUGGGCUUAACCCGAGGAUUGCAUUUGGAACUAUCAAGCUAGAGUACAGGAGAGGAAAGCGGAAUUCCUAGUGUAGCGGUGAAAUGCGUAGAUAUUAGGAAGAACACCAGUGGC
rnacentral:rRNA from 1 species